UACGUAGGAGGCGAGCGUUGUCCGGAAUCAUUGGGCGUAAAGAGCGUGUAGGCGGCCCGGUAAGUCCGCUGUAAAAGUCAAAGGCUCAACCUUUGAAUGUCAUGGAUACUGCCGGGCUAGAGUCCGGAAGAGGCGAGUGGAACUCCUGGUGUAGCGGUGGAAUGCGCAGAUAUCAGGAAGAACACCAACGGCGAAGGCAGCUCGCUGGGACGGUACUGACGCUGAGACGCGAAAGCGUGGGGAGCGAACAGG
rnacentral:rRNA from 1 species